rnacentral:rRNA from 1 species
UUCCGUAGGUGAACCUGCGGAAGGAUCAUUCACACACGUUGAAUCCACUUUCAUCACCUGAACUUUUCUUUGUGAGUCUGUGCUUGCGGGCCGCAAGGCUAGCUUGUAGAGAUUCGGGGGCGGACAGGCAGCGGCGGUCCUCGGACUAGCCUCUGCUUUUGGCCGUCGGCUUGUCUAACACACAAUCUUGGUGUGCUUGUUAGCUCGUUGGCUGUUCAGCCAUUCGAUCUGAGAGCUUACAACUUUCAGCGACGGAUGUCUCGGCUCAAACAACGAUGAAGGGCGCAGCGAAGUGCGAUAAGCAUUGCGACUUGCAGAAUUCCGUGAACCAACAGAUUCCUGAACGUAUACUGCGCUUUCGGGAUACCCCUGAAAGCAUGCCUACUUCAGUGUCAUCUUCGGUCUCAUGCUGUUGAUGGCGGUUCUUGCCGCUGCUAAUCAACACGCGUGCUUGUGCACCAAGGAGCUUCUUGCCCUUGAUGCAUCCAAUGCAGUGAGCUUCGCCUUGCGAGCAACUAACAGAACGCCUUCUGGCGCAUUGUCUGCUGCUCUGCUGGGUUGAUGGCUCUGCUUUCAUCGGUGCUUCGGCUCCGUUUUCUGACAUGAAGUUAGGUCAGCAAACCCGCUGAAUUUAAGCAUAU